rnacentral:rRNA from 1 species
UACGGGGGGGGCAAGCGUUGUUCGGAAUUACUGGGCGUAAAGGGCUCGCAGGCGGCCGACUAAGUCAGACGUGAAAUCCCUUGGCUUAACCAAGGAAUGGCGUCUGAUACUGGACGGCUUGAAUUCGGGAGAGGGAUGUGGAAUUCCAGGUGUAGCGGUGAAAUGCGUAGAGAUCCGGAGGAACACCGACGGCGAAGGCAGCGCCCUGGACGACACCUGACGCUCAGGCACGAAAGCUGGGGGAGCAAACAGG